UACGAAGGGGGCUAGCGUUGCUCGGAAUUACUGGGCGUAAAGGGCGCGCAGGCGGCUCUGAAAGUCAGAUGUGAAAGCCCCGGGCUUAACCUGGGAACUGCAUUUGAUACUCUAGAGCUUGAGUACGGGAGAGGAGAGUGGAAUUCCCAGUGUAGAGGUGAAAUUCGUAGAUAUUGGGAAGAACACCGGUGGCGAAGGCGGCUCUCUGGACCGUAACUGACGCUGAGGCGCGAAAGCGUGGGGAGCAAACAGG
rnacentral:rRNA from 1 species